CAGUAGCCGCGGUAAUACAGAGGGUGCGAGCGUUAAUCGGAUUUACUGGGCGUAAAGCGCGCGUAGGUGGUUUGUUAAGUUGGAUGUGAAAUCCCCGGGCUCAACCUGGGAACUGCAUCCAAAACUGGCAAGCUAGAGUAUGGUAGAGGGUGGUGGAAUUUCAUGUGUAGCGGUGAAAUGCGUAGAUAUAGGAAGGAACACCAGUGGCGAAGGCGACCACCUGGACUGAUACUGACACUGAGGUGCGAAAGCGUGGGGAGCAAACAGGAUUAGAUACCCCAGUAGUCCCUGUCUCUUAUAC
rnacentral:rRNA from 1 species